rnacentral:rRNA from 1 species
GAUGAACGCUGGCGGCGUGCCUAAUACAUGCAAGUCGAGCGAACGGACGAGAAGCUUGCUUCUCUGAUGUUAGCGGCGGACGGGUGAGUAACACGUGGAUAACCUACCUAUAAGACUGGGAUAACUUCGGGAAACCGGAGCUAAUACCGGAUAAUAUUUUGAACCGCAUGGUUCAAAAGUGAAAGACGGUCUUGCUGUCACUUAUAGAUGGAUCCGCGCUGCAUUAGCUAGUUGGUAAGGUAACGGCUUACCAAGGCAACGAUGCAUAGCCGACCUGAGAGGGUGAUCGGCCACACGGGAACUGAGACACGGUCCAGACUCCUACGGGAGGCAGCAGUAGGGAAUCUUCCGCAAUGGGCGAAAGCCUGACGGAGCAACGCCGCGUGAGUGAUGAAGGUCUUCGGAUCGUAAAACUCUGUUAUGAGGGAAGAACAUAUGUGUAAGUAACUGUGCACAGCUUGACGGUACCUAAUCAGAAAGCCACGGCUAACUACGUG